AAUGGGAGAAUAACUAUCAGAUUUUUGCUCCUGAUUUUCAGCUUUUUUCUCCUGAAAAAAUUCAAAUCCAACUAAAAGUGCUAAAAAUCAGGAGUAAAAAUAUGAUUUGUCAUUCUUGCAUU
rfam:Gossypium raimondii Chr13_contig_663, whole genome shotgun sequence.